rnacentral:rRNA from 1 species
CCGAACCUACGGGGGGCAGCAGUGAGGAAUAUUGGACAAUGGGAGGAAUCCUGAACCAGCCAUGCCGCGUGCAGGACGACGGCUCUACGAGUUGUAAACUGCUUUUGUACCGGGGUAAAAUGCCUUACGAGUAGGGUUUUGAAAGUACGGUACGAAUAAGGAUCGGCUAACUCCGUGCCAGCAGCCGCGGUAAUACGGAGGAUCCGAGCGUUAUCCGGCUUCAUUGGGUUUAAAGGGUGCGUAGGUUGUUUUAUAGGUUAGCGGAGAA